rnacentral:rRNA from 1 species
GUAAAGCACUUUCAGUCGUGAGGAAGGUAGUGUAGUUAAUAGCUGCAUUAUUUGACGUUAGCGACAGAAGAAGCACCGGCUAACUCCGUGCCAGCAGCCGCGGUAAUACGGAGGGUGCGAGCGUUAAUCGGAAUUACUGGGCGUAAAGCGCAUGCAGGUGGUUUGUUAAGUCAGAUGUGAAAGACCCGGGGCGUCAACCUCGGAAUAGCAUUUGAAACUGGCAGACUAGAGUACUGUAGAGGGGGGUAGGAAUUUCAGGUGUAGCGGUGAAAUGCGUAGAGAUCUGAAGGAAUACCGGUGGCGAAGGCGGCCCCCUCGGACAGAUACUGACACUCAGAUGCGAAAGCGUGGGGAGCAAACAGGAUUAGAUACCCUGGUAG